rnacentral:rRNA from 1 species
CCCAGACUCCUACGGGAGGCAGCAGUGGGGAAUAUUGCACAAUGGGCGAAAGCCUGAUGCAGCGACGCCGCGUGAGUGAAGAAGUAUUUCGGUAUGUAAAGCUCUAUCAGCAGGGAAGAAAAUGACGGUACCUGACUAAGAAGCCCCGGCUAACUACGUGCCAGCAGCCGCGGUAAUACGUAGGGGGCAAGCGUUAUCCGGAUUUACUGGGUGUAAAGGGAGCGUAGGCGGUAAUGCAAGUCAGAAGUGAAAGCCCGGGGCUCAACUCCGGGACUGCUUUUGAAACUGUGUUGCUAGAUUGCAGGAGAGGUAAGUGGAAUUCCUAGUGUAGCGGUGAAAUGCGUAGAUAUUAGGAGGAACACCAGUGGCGAAGGCGGCUUACUGGACUGUAAAUGACGCUGAGGCUCGAAAGCGUGGGGAGCAAACAGGAUUAGAUACCCGCGUA